rnacentral:rRNA from 1 species
CGCAUACGUCCUACGGGAGAAAGCAGGGGACCUUCGGGCCUUGCGCUAUCGGAUGAGCCUAUGUCGGAUUAGCUGGUUGGUGAGGUAACGGCUCACCAAGGCGACGAUCCGUAGCUGGUCUGAGAGGAUGAUCAGCCACAUCGGGACUGAGACACGGCCCGAACUCCUACGGGAGGCAGCAGUGGGGAAUAUUGGACAAUGGGCGCAAGCCUGAUCCAGCCAUGCCGCGUGUGUGAAGAAGGCCCUCGGGUUGUAAAGCACUUUCAGUGGGGAAGAACGCCUGGUGGUUAAUACCCGCCAGGAAGGACAUCACCCACAGAAGAAGCACCGGCUAACUCCGUGCCAGCAGCCGCGGUAAUACGGAGGGUGCGAGCGUUAAUCGGAAUUACUGGGCGUAAAGCGCGCGUAGGCGGCGUGAUAAGCCGGUUGUGAAAGCCCCGGGCUCAACCUGGGAACGGCAUCCGGAACUGUCAGGCUAGAGUGCAGGAGAGGAAGGUAGAAUUCCCGGUGUAGCGGUGAAAUGCGUAGAGAUCGGGAGGAAUACCAGUGGCGAAGGCGGCCUUCUGGACUGACACUGACGCUGAGGUGCGAAAGCGUGGGUAGCAAACAGGAUUAGAUACCCUGGUAGUCCACGCCGUAAACGAUGUCGACUAGCCGUUGGGUCCUUCGCGGACUUUGUGGCGCAGUUAACNAGAACCUUACCUACCCUUGACAUCCUGCGAACCCUUCGGAGACGAAGGGGUGCCUUCGGGAGCGCAGAGACAGGUGCUGCAUGGCUGUCGUCAGCUCGUGUUGUGAAAUGUUGGGUUAAGUCCCGUAACGAGCGCAACCCUUGUCCCUAUUUGCCAGCGAUUCGGUCGGGAACUCUAGGGAGACUGCCGGUGACAAACCGGAGGAAGGUGGGGACGACGUCAAGUCAUCAUGGCCCUUACGGGUAGGGCUACACACGUGCUACAAUGGUCAGUACAAAGGGUUGCGAACUUGCGAGAGUGAGCCAAUCCCAGAAAGCUGAUCUCAGUCCGGAUCGGAGUCUGCAACUCGACUCCGUGAAGUCGGAAUCGCUAGUAAUCGUGAAUCAGAAUGUCACGGUGAAUACGUUCCCGGGCCUUGUACACACCGCCCGUCACACCAUGGGAGUGGACUGCACCAGAAGUGGUUAGCCUAACCUUCGGGAGGGCGAUCACCACGGUGUGGUUCAUGACUGGGGUGAAGUCGUAACAAGGUAGCCGUAGGGGAACCUGCGGCUG